AGCAAAGCCAGAGGUAUUAAAAAAAGAAAAAGAAGAACAUGACUAUAGAUAUCAUUCUAUAAAGUACUUUGCUAGAAUCAGCUCAUUAAUCCUGUCAGCAACCCCACAAGCAGAUGCUGUUUUUAUUCUCAUUUUACAGAGGAGGAAAUCAAGAUAGAGAGUUCAAGUGGCUUGCUGAGACUCAUGUUUCCUGCUGAUGGCCGUGCCCAGAUUCAAGCUCAGUGUAACACCAAACCUCACCCUCCACUGCCCUUGAGAAACAGCAAUCCCGGUAAAGGCAUUGGCAGGACCAGGUAACUUAAAAGAAAUGUUUGUGUGUCUGCCUGUCCUGGUUGGGAAGGAAGUUUCUGAGAUAUGGCAUGCCAAACAAUUAAUAGUUUCAUAUCUGUGAAAGAUUUCCUAGUGCAACUGAGCUCAGUGAGCUGCAUAUUUUAUAAAAAGGACAUAAUUCUACUGAUAAUUAUUUUUCCUGCAAAGAAAUAAGUCAUUUUUUUUUUUUUUUGCAAGUAUAGAAGGUGAAACUUAUUGUCAGAACACUGACAUUUACCUCUAUAAAUUUAAACAGUUCCUGAAGGUCAUGGGAAACAAGUGACAAAGAGAAUGGUUCUGUCUGAAAAUAAAAUGAUCAUAUAAAAGCUCCUUUGGAAUGCUAACAUUCUAUUAAAGCGUAACUAACAUAUUUAAACCAUUAUUGUGCCAUUGUAAAUAUGCUUUUAGAUUUUUAUAUUACAGACAACUUCCUGAACUCUAUUAUUUUGCAAAAUCAAAUCAUUAUUUUGGUGAAAAUAAUGAUAGGUAGGGUUUGUUGGUAGAUGUAUCAGCGAUUGUCUUGCAACUUGAAUGCAGUCAUUGGGAGCCCAGGGUUUUUGUAAUGAAGACUGUCGAUCUAGUCUUUUUGAGACAACCUGUAUGAUGUUGCCACAUUUACACUGUAAACACUUGAACAUAUAAAUUUCUAAGAUAGCUUAUUCUGGUGUUUUUAGCUGAACUUCUAAUCAUCAAGAGGCCAAGAUUCCAUGGUAAAUGAAAGACGUCAAUAGUAAGGGAAUGUGCCUUCUUACACAUCACUCAGAAUGUUUUACCACAGCAUAAUAUCCUUUUUAUUAUUGAGCAAGCCAAUGAUGUCCAAGCUCAUCGUAAGGCCCAUCUGCCGUUUUAUUCCUUAUCUCUCCAGAAACGAGACAGAUGAUGCAGCAUACUCAGGAUCCACAUUUCCUAAAUGUUUAACAUUGUACAAGCUAAAUGGAACUUUGAUUCAAUGUGUUAAAAGUCAGCUAUUUACAAGACACAUCGAUGGUUACUGCAAAUAAAUAAAGCUGCUAAUUGAUUAUGCAUGCUCAAAAUACCCUUUUAGAGUGUAUCAGAAGUAGAGAGGGCUACCUGGGAGCAUUAUACCUGGAAGGGAGAUUGUACACAAAACUUAGCUCAAGGAGACCAUGUUCCUGGGUUCACUCAAAUGAGUGAAUAUGAUGAAUAUUUAUUGUGCAGCUAUACUGUGCCUAUGUCUAAAUACAGGCUCCGAAUAAUUCAGUGGUCAUUCAACAUGUAAUUAAAAGAGUUGCUGUCACAUACCAGGCAUUGCACUGAGUGUGGGGGACUCAAUAUAGAGCAAUACAGACUCAGUCUUUGCCUCAAGAAGGUACAUUUAGAGGGGAGACUACAAACAUAAACACGGAGAAGGCUCAGGCCAACUGUUUCCAGGUUUAGGUAUCUUCUCUUCCAGACUCUCUUUCCUCUUUUCUCCAUCCAACUGUGCACCCAGGAAGUUGAUCUGUGAGCACAACAUAAUGGACUCCUUUUCUCUGUGGCUGUGUGUUGUACUUGUCCAGCAGUGGCCAAAGACUGAAGGUAGAGAAUAUGGUGAGAUCGGUUUCUUCCCUACAUGGUAGCUGCAGGCUGGCUGAGCCCAUCUAAGAAAACCUUACAGCUUCUUUCAACUAGCCCUUUCUGCACUAAUUUCUAGUACAUGCUUUCUCUUUUGGCCCCUUUAGACCUUUAGGUUGACCUACUGUUAUUAGCCUCUAGAUACUGCCAUGUUCAUGUAUUUUUCCUCACCCUGCUCACAUACCUUAAAAAUGGCACCUUUAUUCAUCUGUCUUUGUUUCCAUGCGUGCGUAACAUUUGUAUCCUGCUGACACUCAGACUGUACAAUCCCUAAACUAGCCACUGAAGUAGAGCCUUCUGUUUACCUACAGUAAAUCUUUGUAGGGAGAAGUCAGUACAGUUUUGAGGUUAACUUAUAGCACAGCUAUGCUUACAUAAUAUGGUGACUAACCCUGCUGAAGCAGGGUGUGAAGGUUUUAAGUACCAUUGAGAUCUACAGGAUCAGAAUAGGUAAUUUUAAGUAGUAUAAAUUUCUCUAAAUGAAAGUUUUGGAAAAGAAUAAAGUAUGGAAGUAGGCUACAUAAUUCAGGGAUGCUUCUACAUAUGACUCUGCUGUAUGCUCAGAAUUAGGCAAACAUGGCUGCUUAAAAUGAGAAUCUGCAAUAAAGAUGAUCCUUGGCACUAAUUCAUUAAUGGAUUAGGUAAAUUAGACACUGGAUAGGAGAUGUUCCUUAUUCUGACCCCUUGGGAGCUUCUGUUACAUAUACUGAGGGCCCAUGGCACUUUCCCUAGUAUGCAUAGAUAAAUAUUCAGAAAUAAUUUUUUUCCUUCCCUUUGUAUUGUUUUUCUUUAAGUAGAAAGUUGAAGCUUAUUGAGAUAUACAGCAGAGUCAUAUGUAGAAGUUAGAGUCUUGCCAGAAAUUUGGUUUAAGUUAUAUAAUUCAGAAGACUACACAAAUCUUCUAACGAUUAAAAUGAAAGCAUCAGAUAUUGGUUACCUUAGAUAGUGGGUUACUAUUAUUAUUAUUGAUAUUAUUAUUUUUAUUUUUCCUCAAUUUAUAGUUCAGACCCUCACAUAAACUGAAGGUACAAAAAGUAUUUACUGAAUGAAUGAGCAGAGUAAUGAUGAAAGGAAUAUGAAUAAAAACCAAAAUGAAUUCCAUUGGCUUUUCUUCAAAUUACUUGCAAAUUUAAUUUUUAGAUAAAUAUAUCAGAAUUUAUCCAGGUAAAUGAUUAUCAUUCUUCAAAGGAAUCACCUUGGGGGUGAGGUAGGAAGUAAGCAAGACUAUUUCAACAAUUCUACUUUUAUUCAAAGUAUUUUACCAAGUACCUUUUUCAGAGGCAGUAAUACAUUCUCUUAAAUAGUGGCAAAUCUGAGUCCUUUAUAAAAUGAUUCAUUUUUUUUAUUACUGUUAAAGUUAUGCAGAGUCAACUUUUGCAUGCAGGAUGAGUGAUCAAACUAGGUUAUUUAAACGAGGCAUGAUUAUAAAGUAAUGAUAACUUUUAAAAAUGAUAAGACUCAAAUGUAAUCAGAAAUAAUUGAAUUUCAACAUGUGGCAAUUCCAGAUAUAUUCUGUGCAAUACCAGAAACUGUUGAAAAUGUCGCACAAGAGUUGUCACAGAGGAUGAAGAAGAAUCAGACUCCAGAGCUUGGCAGAUGGACUUAAAUCCCUCCUUGGACAGUAAUCCACUGCAUGGAUCUUUGAGGCUAUGAUUCUAUCCACAACAAAGAAUGGUGUUGGCUACCUUAGGAGUCUGCUACUAGAGCUGGUCUGUGAUCUGUGCCAGAUACUCACCAUCCUCUUUACUUUCACCCUAGAAUGAUCUUGAAAAUAAUUUGCAGUUCUCAACUCAGGAAUGCACUGAAGUGUAUCCACUGUACUUGAGUUUGAAGGAAAAGACACAAGUUGUACAGCUGGAGCCAAGCAUGAAGAGACACACAGUGGAUAAGUGUUAAAAAGGUAAAAAGAUGGCUUCAACCUUAUCCUGUGGCUGCAGAAAGCAUCCUGUCAUCAUUCAUGCUCUGUAUAUAGCCAUCUCUUGGAAGUGUUUAUUUAGAAUAUGAUGGCAUUUGGCAAGGAACUAAGAUUUGGAGAUCCUCCAAUAGUUGGCUAAUACCUGCCUGGAUUCAAGAAGGCAUUAUGCCAAAGGGAGAUUCUUGGAAAAAUCAUUCUGUUUAUUUCUAAAAGACUUUCCACUAAAUCUCAGUAGAGUCUCCAUGCCAUAUAAUGCUGUGAGAAAGCCUUUAUUGUGGCCUAUACUCAUCAAGACGGCUGGACUCCUUGGUUCCAUGUCUGCAGGUCUACACCCUCAUCUCAGUUUUCCAUUUUAACACUAUGCUGGUGGGUCAAAUAGGUCCCAAAGAAAAGAAAAGAGAGUAUUUGUUUAUUUAUACUUCUUGUACCAAUAAUUCAGUAAUCUGGCCUAAAUUGUUCUUUGAGGCCAUCCCUGGAAAGUGACAAAUCUUUCAUGGAGUAGAAGGGUAGAGAUGAGCCCACACACAGUUGUCCCCAUGAAUCCUGUUUGUGCCAGCUCCCACUGCAAACUUCCUUUUCCAAUUGAAUCCGUUCAGAUUUUCAGUUCCAGCGCAGCCCUUGUUAGCUUUAUCAUCUCGAUGCCCUUUUUAUUAUCUGUGAGUAUUAAUCCUUGUAUCUGGAAAUGGAGAUCUCUCACUUCCUGAAGUUUGUUGCAGGGAGGGGGCUGUGUGUGACUCUCAUAAAGUGUUAACUCCCCUACAAAGCUUCUUUCAGGCUCAUUUGUUACCUCCCAUCGGGCACUUUGAUCUCAAAGAUCUUAAGAAAUUUUUGAUAUACACCAAGGC
rnacentral:lncRNA from 1 species